rnacentral:ncRNA from 1 species
CGGAGGCGCAGCCGACAUCACUAGCUUCCAUAAGGGCUGGGAAAUCCUUUAGGGGAUGCCCGGAAGCGAAAGGGGAGGUUGCCGAGGACACGAACCGUUCCCGAGGGGAAGCGUCCGGGCGAGCGGAAAAUAUCUGUUCGACUGUCGCUAUUGCGGAGAGCUGUC